rnacentral:rRNA from 1 species
AUUGAACGCUGGCGGCAUGCUUUACACAUGCAAGUCGAACGGUAACAGGCCGCAAGGUGCUGACGAGUGGCGGACGGGUGCGUAAUGCAUCGGAACGUGCCCAGUCGUGGGGGAUAACUACUCGAAAGAGUAGCUAAUACCGCAUACGAUCUAUGGAUGAAAGCGGGGGACCGUAAGGCCUCGCGCGAUUGGAGCGGCCGAUGUCAGAUUAGGUAGUUGGUGGGGUAAAGGCUCACCAAGCCAACGAUCUGUAGCUGGUCUGAGAGGACGACCAGCCACACUGGAACUGAGACACGGCCCAGACUCCUACGGGAGGCAGCAGUGGGGAAUUUUGGACAAAGGGCGCAAGCCUGAUCCAGCAAUGCCGCGUGCAGGAAGAAGGCCUUCGGGUUGUAAACUGCUUUUGUACGGAACGAAACGGCUCUGGUUAAUACCCGGGGCUAAUGACGGUACCGUAAGAAUAAGCACCGGCUAACUACGUG